UACGUAGGGGGCGAGCGUUGUCCGGAUUCAUUGGGCGUAAAGAGCUCGUAGGCGGUUUGGCAAGUCGGGUGUGAAAUCUCUGGGCUCAACUCAGAGAGGCCACUCGAUACUGCUAUGACUAGAGUCCGGUAGGGGACCAUGGAAUUCCUGGUGUAGCGGUGAAAUGCGCAGAUAUCAGGAGGAACACCGGUGGCGAAGGCGGAUCUCUGGGCCAUUACUGACGCUGAGGAGCGAAAGCGUGGGGAGCGAACAGG
rnacentral:rRNA from 1 species